GUGGGGAAUUUUGGACAAUGGGCGAAAGCCUGAUCCAGCCAUGCCGCGUGCAGGAUGAAGGCCUUCGGGUUGUAAACUGCUUUUGUACGGAACGAAAAGACUCCUUCUAAUAAAGGGGGUCCAUGACGGUACCGUAAGAAUAAGCACCGGCUAACUACGUGCUAGCAGCCGCGGUAAUACGUAGGGUGCAAGCGUUAAUCGGAAUUACUGGGCGUAAAGCGUGCGCAGGCGGUUAUAUAAGACCGAUGUGAAAUCCCCGGGCUCAACCUGGGAACUGCAUUUGUGACUGUAUAGCUAGAGUACGGUAGAGGGGGAUGGAAUUCCGCGUGUAGCAGUGAAAUGCGUAGAUAUGCGGAGGAACACCGAUGGCGAAGGCAAUCCCCUGGACCUGUACUGACGCUCAUGCACGAAAGCGUGGGGAGCAAACAGGAUUAGAAACCCGGGUAGUCC
rnacentral:rRNA from 1 species